rnacentral:rRNA from 1 species
GACGAACGCUGGCGGCGUGCUUAACACCUGCAAGUCGAACAAUGAAGCUGGCGCUUGCUCCGGUGGAUUAGUGGCGAACGGGUGAGUAACACGUGAGCAAUCUGACCUUGACUCUGGGAUAACUGAGGGAAACUGUAGCUAAUACCGGAUACUUUCACUGGAAGGCAUCUUCCGGUGAAGCAAGACUUACGGUCAAGGAUGAGCUCGCGGCCUAUCAGCUUGUUUGCGAGGUAACGGCUCCCCAAGGCGACGACGGGGAGCCGGCCUGGGUGGGUGACCGGCCACACUGGGACUGCGACACGGCCCAGACUCCUACGGGAGGCAGCAGUCGGGAAGAUUGCACAAUUGGCGCAAGCCUGAUGCAGCGACGCCGCGUGAGGGAUGAAGGACUUCGGGUGGUAAGCCUCUUUUAGCAGGGAAGAAGCGAAAGUGACGGUACCUGCAGCAAAAGCACCGGGUAACUACGUGCCAGCAGCCGCAGUAA